UACGGAGGGGGCGAGCGUUAUUCGGAAUCAUUGGGCGUAAAGCGCGUGUAGGCGGCUCGGUAAGUCCGCUCUGAAAGUCCAGGGCUCAACCCUGGGAUGCGGGUGGAUACUGCCGGGCUCGAGUCCGGAAGAGGCGAGUGGAAUUCCCGGUGUAGCGGUGAAAUGCGCAGAUAUCGGGAGGAACACCAAUGGCGAAGGCAGCUCGCUGGGACGUGACUGACGCUGAGACGCGAAAGCGUGGGGAGCAAACAGG
rnacentral:rRNA from 1 species